UGGGGGACAUUGUAGCAAGAAUGGAGCUUUUCUAAUGGAAGAUGAUUUGCUCUUCUGAUGAAAAUAUUUUCUAGCUCAUCUCAUUUGAAAUGAAUGUUUGUUAACAGCUUACAGAGACAACUUUUGUUCUUGUGCGGUCAGGAGCUCAAGUGACUCCACUGAAACCCUGGCAUUUAUCACAGACAAAAUUAGGUCAGAAGAGAGCACAGAGGUACUGAACUGAAAAGAGAUAAAUUCAUCCUUAGAAGGAAAAGAAUGGCUCGAGCUGCAAACUUGGGUUUAAUUUGUCUCCUCCACAUAAGGACUCCAGUACUUGCAUUCUGGUGACUACCAGCAUAGUAAUGAACCUGGUAUAUAGG